rnacentral:lncRNA from 1 species
CCCCAGCCCUGUCCUUAGAGUGAUUCACGCCCAGCCCUGUCCUUAGAGUGACUCACCCCAGCCCUGUCCUUAGAGUGAUUCACCCCAGUCCUGUCCUUAGAGUGAUUCACCCCAGCCCUGUCCUUAGAUUGAUUCCCCCCCAGAACUGUCCUUAGAGUGAUUCACCCUCAGCCCUGUCCUUAGAGUGAUUCACACCCAGCCCUGUCCUUAGAGUGAUUCACCCCACCCCUGUCCUUAGAGUGAUUCACACCCAGCCGUGUCCUUAGAGUGAUUCACCCCAGCCCUGUCCUUAGAGUGAUUCCCCCCAGCCCUGUCCUUAGAGUGAUUAACCCCAGCCCUGUCCUUAGAGUGAUUCACCACAGCCCUGUAAAUAGAGUGAUUCACCCCUAGCCCUGUCCUUAGAGUGAUUCACUCCCAGCCCUUUACUUAGAGUGAUUCACCCCAGCCCUGUCCUUAGAGUGAUCCCCCCAGCCCUGUCCUUAUAGUGAUUCCCCCCAGCCCUGUCCUUAGAGUAAUUCACCCUAGUCCUGUCCUUAGAGUGAUUCACCCCAGCCCUGUCCUUAGAGUGAUUCCCCC